rnacentral:piRNA from 1 species
UGCCAGCGCUGCUUCUGACCCC